rnacentral:tRNA from 1 species
AGUGUUUUCAAUGGUUUUUUCUCCCCUGCUAAGGGAGUAGGCGUCUAAAAAGCGCGCGAGAGUUCGAAUCUCUCCUUCCGCGCCA